rnacentral:lncRNA from 1 species
CCCCUCCGACAAAAAGUUUCGUCUCGAAACUAUAUCGAAACCAAUAUAUCAAACCUUGUACAACAAUAUAUGACACUUUUGAAAUUUGGGCAUUCUAGAUAGGUAUGCGGCAAACGCCUCUAUACCAUAUAGCAAUGACCAAAAUUCAAGACAACCAAUAGGAUUCACAAACAAAUAACAAAACAAAAAAAUAUCAAAAAGUUAAAUAAAAUUAAAAAAAUCUUCCCUCAUUCCUUUGAAUUGCCGUUGACAAACGAUCAAUCCAAAUUCUUGCCAAAUCAAAUGUAGGAUGUACCCCAUCCACUAAUCUGUUAUACAAAUAUCUAAAUUUUCCACUCUUACAUUUAUGUACAGGAGAAUGAAA